rnacentral:rRNA from 1 species
CCUACUGGUGGCAUCAUUGGGGCAUCUUGCACAAUGGGGGAAACCCUGAUGCAGCGACGCCGCGUGAGUUCCUACUUCAUUCGUUACGUCCCUCUCUCUCCGCCGUUCCGCCCCCCUGCCCUUCCGGUCAGCAGACGGUCCCUGCGUAAGAAGCCCCGGCUAACUACGUGCCAGCAGCCGCGGUCAUCCGUCGGGGGCCCGCGUUCUCCGGCUUUCCGGGGUGGACCGGGAGCGUCGCCGGUGCGCCCCGUCUGGAGUGAAAUGCCGCCGCUUAACUGCGGAACUGCUUUGGACACUGGCGAACUAGAGUGCGGGAGGGGUAAGCGGAAUUCCUAGUGUAGCGGUGAAAUGCGUAGAUAUUAGGAGGAACACCGGUGGCGAAGGCGGCUUACUGGACCGUAACUGACGUUGAGGCUCGAAAGCGUGGGGAGCAAACAGGAUUAGAGACCCUAGUAGUC